rnacentral:rRNA from 1 species
AUUGAACGCCGGCGGCAUGCUUUACACAUGCAAGUCGAACGGUAACAGGCCGCAAGGUGCUGACGAGUGGCGAACGGGUGAGUAAUGCAUCGGAACGUACCCAGUCGUGGGGGAUAACUACUCGAAAGAGUAGCUAAUACCGCAUACGAUCUAUGGAUGAAAGCGGGGGACCGUAAGGCCUCGCGCGAUUGGAGCGGCCGAUGUCAGAUUAGGUAGUUGGUGGGGUAAAGGCUCACCAAGCCAACGAUCUGUAGCUGGUCUGAGAGGACGACCAGCCACACUGGGACUGAGACACGGCCCAGACUCCUACGGGAGGCAGCAGUGGGGAAUUUUGGACAAUGGGCGCAAGCCUGAUCCAGCAAUGCCGCGUGCAGGAAGAAGGCCUUCGGGUUGUAAACUGCUUUUGUACGGAACGAAACGGCUCUGGUUAAUACCCGGGGCUAAUGACGGUACCGUAAGAAUAAGCACCGGCUAACUACGUG